rnacentral:rRNA from 1 species
GAAACGGUAACAGGAAGMAGCUUGCUUCUUYGCUGACGAGUGGCGGACGGGUGAGUAAUGUCUGGGAAACUGCCUGAUGGAGGGGGAUAACWACUGGAAACGGUAGCUAAUACCGCAUAACGUCGCAAGACCAAAGAGGGGGACCUUCGGGCCUCUUGCCAUCGGAUGUGCCCAGAUGGGAUUAGCUAGUAGGUGGGGUAACGGCUCACCUAGGCGACGAUCCCUAGCUGGUCUGAGAGGAUGACCAGCCACACUGGAACUGAGACACGGUCCAGACUCCUACGGGAGGCAGCAGUGGGGAAUAUUGCACAAUGGGCGCAAGCCUGAUGCAGCCAUGCCGCGUGUAUGAAGAAGGCCUUCGGGUUGUAAAGUACUUUCAGCGGGGAGGAAGGGAGUAAAGUUAAUACCUUUGCUCAUUGACGUUACCCGCAGAAGAAGCACCGGCUAACUCCGUGCCAGCAGCCGCGGUAAUACGGAGGGUGCAAGCGUUAAUCGGAAUUACUGGGCGUAAAGCGCACGCAGGCGGUUUGUUAAGUCAGAUGUGAAAUCCCCGGGCUCAACCUGGGAACUGCAUCUGAUACUGGCAAGCUUGAGUCUCGUAGAGGGGGGUAGAAUUCCAGGUGUAGCGGUGAAAUGCGUAGAGAUCUGGAGGAAUACCGGUGGCGAAGGCGGCCCCCUGGACGAAGACUGACGCUCAGGUGCGAAAGCGUGGGGAGCAAACAGGAUUAGAUACCCUGGUAGUCCACGCCGUAAACGAUGUCGACUUGGAGGUUGUGCCCUUGAGGCGUGGCUUCCGGAGCUAACGCGUUAAGUCGACCGCCUGGGGAGUACGGCCGCAAGGUUAAAACUCAAAUGAAUUGACGGGGGCCCGCACAAGCGGUGGAGCAUGUGGUUUAAUUCGAUGCAACGCGAAGAACCUUACCUGGUCUUGACAUCCACGGAAGUUUUCAGAGAUGAGAAUGUGCCUUCGGGAACCGUGAGACAGGUGCUGCAUGGCUGUCGUCAGCUCGUGUUGUGAAAUGUUGGGUUAAGUCCCGCAACGAGCGCAACCCUUAUCCUUUGUUGCCAGCGGUCCGGCCGGGAACUCAAAGGGACUGCCAGUGAUAAACUGGAGGAAGGUG